rfam:Clostridiales bacterium GWB2_37_7 gwb2_scaffold_1030, whole genome shotgun sequence.
CAGUCGGUAUUCCUGAGAAACCGAACUAUCAUAUAAAUGUAAUAAUUAUUACGUCUUGUAUCCCGAAAGGGAAUGAGAGCGGAGG